rnacentral:ncRNA from 1 species
CAAAGAUAAAAACGCACCGUGCGCCUGUGGGCGCGCCAGAGCCGGAAGGUAGCCCGGCCGUCUCGCCAUUGGCGAGGUAAGUAACCUGCCCCUCCGGGUUGUCCCUUCUUUGUCCAUC